AAUCCAUAGGUUAAUGAGGCGAACCGGGGGAACUGAAACAUCUAAGUACCCCGAGGAAAAGAAAUCAACCGAGAUUCCCCCAGUAGCGGCGAGCGAACGGGGAGGAGCCCAGAGCCUGAAUCAGCAUGUGUGUUAGUGGAAGCGUCUGGAAAGGCGCGCGAUACAGGGUGACAGCCCCGUACACAAAAGCGCAUGUGCUGUGAGCUCGAUGAGUAGGGCGGGACACGUGGUAUCCUGUCUGAAUAUGGGGGGACCAUCCUCCAAGGCUAAAUACUCCUGACUGACCGAUAGUGAACCAGUACCGUGAGGGAAAGGCGAAAAGAACCCCGGCGAGGGGAGUGAAAAAGAACCUGAAACCGUGUACGUACAAGCAGUGGGAGCACCCUUCGGGGUGUGACUGCGUACCUUUUGUAUAAUGGGUCAGCGACUUAUAUUCUGUAGCAAGGUUAACCGUAUAGGGGAGCCGGAGGGAAACCGAGUCUUAAUUGGGCGUUAAGUUGCAGGGUAUAGACCCGAAACCCGGUGAUCUAGCCAUGGGCAGGUUGAAGGUUGGGUAACACUAACUGGAGGACCGAACCGACUAAUGUUGAAAAAUUAGCGGAUGACCUGUGGCUGGGGGUGAAAGGCCAAUCAAACCGGGAGAUAGCUGGUUCUCCCCGAAAGCUAUUUAGGUAGCGCCUCGUGAAUUCAUCUCCGGGGGUAGAGCACUGUUUCGGCUAGGGGGCCAUCCCGGCUUACCAACCCGAUGCAAACUGCGAAUACCGGAGAAUGUUAUCACGGGAGACACACGGCGGGUGCUAACGUCCGUCGUGAAGAGGGAAACAACCCAGACCGCCAGCUAAGGUCCCAAAGUCAUGGUUAAGUGGGAAACGAUGUGGGAAGGCCCAGACAGCCAGGAUGUUGGCUUAGAAGCAGCCAUCAUUUAAAGAAAGCGUAAUAGCUCACUGGUCGAGUCGGCCUGCGCGGAAGAUGUAACGGGGCUAAACCAUGCACCGAAGCUGCGGCAGCGAACGUAUCACCCAAGACAACUUUACGGAGUUGACGAUUGACGGAGCGAAGCGACGUCAAAGCGUUCAUUAAAGUCGAGUUGGCUUAGGGAUACGUUCGUUGGGUAGGGGAGCGUUCUGUAAGCCUGUGAAGGUGUGUCGUGAGGCAUGCUGGAGGUAUCAGAAGUGCGAAUGCUGACAUAAGUAACGAUAAAGCGGGUGAAAAGCCCGCUCGCCGGAAGACCAAGGGUUCCUGUCCAACGUUAAUCGGGGCAGGGUGAGUCGACCCCUAAGGCGAGGCCGAAAGGCGUAGUCGAUGGGAAACGGGUUAAUAUUCCCGUACUUGGUGUUACUGCGAAGGGGGGACGGAGAAGGCUAUGUUGGCCGGGCGACGGUUGUCCCGGUUUAAGCGUGUAGGUGUGUGUUCCAGGUAAAUCCGGUUCACUUUAACACUGAGGCGUGACGACGAGGCACUACGGUGCUGAAGCAACAAAUGCCCUGCUUCCAGGAAAAGCCUCUAAGCAUCAGGUAACAUCAAAUCGUACCCCAAACCGACACAGGUGGUCAGGUAGAGAAUACCAAGGCGCUUGAGAGAACUCGGGUGAAGGAACUAGGCAAAAUGGUGCCGUAACUUCGGGAGAAGGCACGCUGACACGUAGGUGAAGUGAUUUACUCAUGGAGCUGAAGUCAGUCGAAGAUACCAGCUGGCUGCAACUGUUUAUUAAAAACACAGCACUGUGCAAA
rnacentral:rRNA from 1 species